AAUCCAUAGGUUAAUGAGGCGAACCGGGGGAACUGAAACAUCUAAGUACCCCGAGGAAAAGAAAUCAACCGAGAUUCCCCCAGUAGCGGCGAGCGAACGGGGAGGAGCCCAGAGCCUGAAUCAGCAUGUGUGUUAGUGGAAGCGUCUGGAAAGGCGCGCGAUACAGGGUGACAGCCCCGUACACAAAAGCGCAUGUGCUGUGAGCUCGAUGAGUAGGGCGGGACACGUGGU
rnacentral:rRNA from 1 species